GCCAGUUUUCGCCCUGUUGUUGAGGAAGGAAGAGUUUUUGGAUGGAUUGAUGAAUCCUUGGGCUGGCCUGCUUCAUGUCCUUCACACAGGAGCUGCUCCAAGACUGGUCCCUACCCGCCACCUCCAGUGUUGAAGACAUCCUUGAGUGGGUAACUGAAUGAGCCUGGCAGGGCGCCCUCUGCGAUCACUCCCCCGACGAGGAACGUAUGCAGGCCUUCACCAACCAAAAGGUCAUUGGAUUCUUCAUGGGAAGAGGAUAUCAGCCCCUGAGAACUGUUGACCCUUCCCCGAAAGAAUACAGCCUCCCCACACAAAACCAAUACCUGCCACCUAAUUGUUUUACCCGCCAACAUAAAGCUUUUAUUUUUUCAUAUCUUUGCCUGUCCAGCAGGAAGUAGCUUCAGAAGAGUGAGACCUCCACCCCUUUUCCCUUCUCCCUAUACUUAAAAGGCAGGAAUGAUAGGUUCUGGAUGUGACUGGCGCCAUCUUGGAUGUGACUGGUGCCAUUUUACACACACUCAGCACAAAACGGCCACCAGCCUUUCCCUUACAAGAAACCUCGUGGUUUCUGAGAAAUAGAAACUCCUGCACACCAGCACCAAACCCCUCUCUGAUUACGUCAGCCUUCCUUACAGUCUAUAUAAGCUCUCCCACCCCUACACCUCGUG